rnacentral:rRNA from 1 species
CAGCCGCCACGGUAAUACAGAGGGUGCGAGCGUUAAUCGGAUUUACUGGGCGUAAAGCGUGCGUAGGCGGCUUCUUAAGUCGGAUGUGAAAUCCCUGAGCUUAACUUAGGAAUUGCAUUCGAUACUGGGAAGCUAGAGUAUGGGAGAGGAUGGUAGAAUUCCAGGUGUAGCGGUGAAAUGCGUAGAGAUCUGGAGGAAUACCGAUGGCGAAGGCAGCCAUCUGGCCUAAUACUGACGCUGAGGUACGAAAGCAUGGGGAGCAAACAGGAUUAGAUACCCCCGUAGUCCCUGUCUCUUAUCA